rnacentral:lncRNA from 1 species
UCAGAUUAGUUAGUGGUUGUCAGCGCUUAAGGAUGGGUAGGGAGUGGCUGAAGGAAGAAAACAGGAUUGUCUCUGACCCAGUCUCCUCAUGGUUUCCCGGCUUCACUCUGCAACAUCUAAUCCAUUUGCCGUUGUGUAGCUGAGAUGAUCUUCUACAAACUCACCCUGACCAUGCACCUCCCUGUAGAGCCUUCUAUGGUCCCCCACUGCCCUCAAAAGCCAGCAUUCUUUUCCCUGGCAUAGGAGAUACUUUGAUCUGGCCUCUCUGACUUAUGCUCAGUCCUGUCCUGCAGCUCCCCUGACUCAUUGCAUUCCCUCUUGACACGAGGCCUGCGCAGAUGCUGUUCCCUCAGCCUGGAAGACCUCAGUCUGGGUGACUCAUGCUCACUC